rnacentral:lncRNA from 1 species
UCUCUGUCUCUUUUUCUUUGCAUUUAUUUUUCUUCAUCUUUUUGUGUGUCUCUUUUCUCAAUUCGUUUCCUCCCAUCCCUCCGUCUGUCUUUGUUUGGAUUCUGGAAGUCUCCUCAUUCUGUAUACCCCUGUGUAUCACAAGCCUCUGAGACUUUCGCUUCGUUGUUUUUCUCCUUGUUUCAUAAAAUGCAUUCAUUCUUCUUUUAUUUAGGUACUGUAUGGAUGGUCAAGUGCUGGAAAGAAAAAAAAAUGGCCCAUAAAUUUGUUUGGUUUCACAAGAGACAUGGGAGACCAAAUAACGCACGAUGAGUACUUUUCUAAAUAUCCUGUUUAUUCUCCCAACGGGGCUCAUAAAAAUACGGAUGCAUUCAGUGGGUUGAGAGAUCUCUGUGCAGUCGUGACCCUGCAAUUAUAUUUGACAAGGGUGGUGAUGACAGAUGGGUGGCACAGAAGCCUACCCUUCUUUGGCACCAAUUGAGCAUGGUGACAACAGAUUCAAAAUGGCCUGUGUCUGAACUUGAUGGUCCUGUUUUUCUGCUCUGGUCUUUAGGAAUGAGGGGAGCCUUCCCGAGUUCCGCCAUUUCCUUGCAUUUUUCUUUUUACAUAUAUUCGUUCACUUAUUUAUUUACUAAUUUAUUUUAAAUAGAGUCUUGUUCUGUAGCCCAGGCUGUGGGGUUUUUUUGGCUGGCUGCAAUCUCCACCUCCCUGGUUCCAGCAAUUCUCCUGCCACAGCCUCCUGAGUAGCUGGGAUUACAGGUGUAUGCCACCCUGCUCACCUAACUUUUGUUUUUUUAGUAGAGACAGGGUUUCACCAUGUUGCCCAGGCUGACCUUCAGGGAUCUGCCUGCCUCAGUCUCCCAAAGUGCUGGGAUAACAGGUGUGAGUCACCGCGCCCAGCCUAAAUUGCAAUUUUUCAAAAUAAAUGUUUUGUUUUGCUUUUUUUAAAAGUAGGUCAUCACCUAGUGACCACUGUUAUUGAAAGGCCACUGUUAUUGAAAGUGGCCACUGUUAUUUAAAGGUGGCACUGAGGGCCGCCUGGCCACUUCACAGAGCCUGGGGCAACUGCUUUCUCUCCUUCCCUUCUGGAGGCCCCUCCCUCUCUCCCUCACUGCCUAGGGAACUUCCAUCCUGGUGCGGACCCUGUUGUUCUUUUAUCCCUCUAGGUAAAUGGUGUCUCCUUCUGUCGCCAAGGCGGUGGCAUGGUCUCGGCUGGCUGCAAUCUCCACCUCCUUGCUUCCAGCGAUUCUCCUGCCUCAGCCCCCCGAGUAGCAGAAAUUACAGAACCCAGAGUUGAUCUCUGCACCACGCCAUCACUGCUGGUGGUGAGGAAAUGGUGCCUCUUUCAGUGAUAUGAAGUUAAAACCAGGAGGGAAGAUCAGUGGAGCCUUCUUUCUGCCAUCUUGUGUUACCUUUGCAGCCAAGAAUCAGAAUGAAGAACUUUCAAUAAGAAAAGCUUUCAGAACCAGGAAGGACGUAGAAGAUGUCCUGGUUCUGUACGUUUAACAUUGGACUGUUUCUUCAACUUAGGUGCAUAACAGUGACUAAUCAGGGAUUAUCAUAGAUAAUUUGACUUGGAAUAUAGAGUUCAUUCAAAUACUUUAUCUAGACAAUUUAAGUACUGGCUGAUUUGGCAUGAAAAUCUGACAAACUAUUUUCUUGGUAUUCAAUUGAUUUUUACUCUGUUUGCUGUAGUAGUUUUAUAAACCAAUCAGUCUUCAUUAAAGUUCUGGGAAUUCUUACCCUGUUCAAAUGAUAUGAUUCUAACGUUGUCAAAAAUCUGUAUUCAAGAAUACUUCUCAGGACCUUUUCCAUCCUUUCAUGAAACUCCUUAAAGAUACAGUAUUCUAUAAUUUUGCAAGCUUGUAAAGUUUUCAGAAUUUGAAAUGCCUCACAAUUAAGCAAUUUACUGUAGAAAUGAUUUUAAAUUUUCAUAGACACAGUUGACAAGAAAAUUUUAUUAUUUACAGGAGUGACCCACCACACCAGGCCUCUGAAGUUCAUUUAAUAAAAUUUUAUAAAUAAAUUU